AUGUCUAGCCUAAGAAGGUGUUCUUCUGAUAUCUUGUGCUUAAUUUCCUAUCGUCCUAAUUAUAUAUCCUUCUUUUGCCUUCCAUGUUUAACCGCAACUGCAGUUGCACCUCCUAUUUCUAUCUCUUAUUUUUAUAUGCUUUUUUCUCUCCUUCUUUCUAGUCGAUGCUCAAAUUGUAAGCUUACUUUUUUGUUGCUAUUUUUGGAUGAAUUUAAUGGUAAAUUUCUUUGGAAAUUUGUCUCUGAGGGAAUUGUAUGUCUUCUCUGGAAACAUAGUAUAAACAUAUCUGAUUCGAAUUAUUUGUCCAGGUAUUUCAUGACUGAAAUAAUCGUGUGUCAGCUUGUCGUCUGCUAAAUAACCUCCAUGUUUUCCCUUAUACACAAUUAAACACACCUCGUGUUUCCUUCCACUGUCAAUCUAAUUGUACUUUGACUCUCAGUCAAUUUUAACCAUGGUAGAAGAGUGGGAGUUGCAAAGUUAGUAGCACAAUUAGCAUCAAGUUUGCCAUGCAAGUCAAAAUUUAUGAAUCUGAGAGUAUUAGAAGCUCCAAUAGAUCAUUAAACUAAAUCAAUCAAGUUUAAAUUGAAUUUAUCUUCAAAAAAUUCAUUCAUUGAAACUCGAUUUCCCAUGUCGCAAAACCCAUACCUCUGUAAGUUUUAAAUAGCAUUAUGUGCUAAGGCAAGUCUAACAUUUUAGGGGGGGUUUGACCCUCAGCUAUAAGUUUCAAAACGACACUGGAGACUCUCUAAACAUCUGAAGACUUGAUAAUAACAGGCUAAGGGCGAAAAAGAAAGAAAAGAAAAAAUCAAAAAUUGAGUUAUGCGAGGCUUUUUGUUCCAAACACCGCAUAACAGGUUUAGUUCCACCAACAAUAGAGCACUGCGUAUAACGUCUAAAAGGUAGCAUUAAUCUUAUGCUCCACAGUAGUUGUCAGAAAUGAAAAUGUGAAUAACCUGAAAUCAACUUUUUGGCACCCAGCGCUUCAUUAAUGUUAAUAAGCCUCUAUGUGUUGUUACUUUAUGCCAAGCAAUUUUUUAUUAUCAUUCAUUAGGAAUUUUUUUCUGAUAAAACAGUAGUACAUGUGCUGAACUUAACCUCCUAUUCCCUAACUAAUAAUUAGAUUUGAUUGCUUAUUAAUGCAAGCAUUAUAACAGCAAGCACUGGACAUUUUCCCAUCCCACCUCUUCUGUUUAAGUAUUUUGUCUCCCUCAAUGAUUUUUAUUUUAUAUCGAAAGCAUGACUUAAUAAGUUAAUUUGACAUUUUAUAGUCUGUUCAUCAAGCCAGUAACAAUUUUUAUUAUUUAUUCUCUUUUUCUCUUUUUAAAUGAUCGGUAUAUGCGUCUAUGUAAAUUCAGAGACUGAAAAAUUUUGCUGACAUAUUGUCCUUAGAUUAUUUUAAGAUUCAUAUUACUUCAGUUUUGUGAUUUGAAGGAAAAUAAUGUAAAUAAAAACCACUCAAACUGUUUUGUAGUGAAUUUUUAUUUCUCCAUUUUAGCGUUUAAUGAAUGUGACCGUUCGUGAAAAGAGGGACCUUAGCGCUGAAAAACUAAUUUUGUGUCAAAAAUAGUUUGUAAUUGCCGCCAUUGUAUUGAGGAGCAUUUUACAAAUAUUAUUGCACAAAAAAAUUCUAAUGAAUUUCU
rnacentral:lncRNA from 1 species